rnacentral:rRNA from 1 species
CUCGUAGGCGGUCUGUCGCGUCGAAAGUGAAAACCCAGGGCUUAACCCUGGGCCUGCUUCCGAUACGGGCAGACUAGAGGUAUGCAGGGGAGAACGGAAUUCCUGGUGUAGCGGUGAAAUGCGCAGAUAUCAGGAGGAACACCGGUGGCGAAGGCGGUUCUCUGGGCAUUACCUGACGCUGAGGAGCGAAAGUGUGGGGAGCGAACA